rnacentral:rRNA from 1 species
AAUCAACGCUGGCGGCGUGCCUCAGACAUGCAAGUCGAACGAUUAAGACUCUCUUCGGAGAGUGUAUAAAGUGGCGCACGGGUGAGUAACACGUAGGUAAUGUACCGAAGGGUGGGGAAUAACUUAGGGAAACUUAAGCUAAUACCGCAUAAUGCAGCGGCUCGACAUCGAGACAGUUGUUAAAGGAGCAAUCCGCCUUUUGAGCAGCCUGCGGCAGAUUAGCUAGUUGGUAAGGUAAUGGCUUACCAAGGCUACGAUCUGUAACCGACCUGAGAGGGUGGUCGGUCACACUGACACUGAAUAACGGGUCAGACUCCUACGGGAGCAGCAGUCGGGAAUUUUGGGCAAUGGGCGAAAGCCUGACCCAGCAACGCCGCGUGAAGGAUGAAGUAUUUCGGUAUGUAAAACUUCGUAAGAAUAGGAAGAAUAAAAUGACGGUACUAUUUGUAAGGUCCGGCUAACUACGUAGCCAGCAGCCGCGGUAAU